GUUAAAAGCCUCCCAGUCAGUCAGGUGGGUGUGCAUGUCAGGAGCUGUGGAAGGAAGUUGUGCUGUUGGGAGGCUAAGUAGUACACAACAUAUCAGGCACAAGGAAGGAGGCCCUGAGUGGUAUCCCCCAGUCGUGGAAGAGGGCUCUAUUGUGCUCAGCUCUGUAGAAAUACAGAACAAAAAGAUGGUCCUUGCAGCGAAGAGCGUUGCAAUCUAAGAAAACCAGAUGGUGGUGGAGGAAAGCACAAGAUAACUUAAUCUGGGACCCAGCUUCAAACUUCAGAGCUUUUUACAGAUGAGAUGGGAGUCCAUGGAUCAAUGCACAUGGACAAAUGUCUGCACCACUGAAUCUGAGCAACUAAAAGCAUUAUUAUACAAAAAUAAAAGCCCUGACUCGUGGAGGUAUGCUUGAAAAUAAAUUUAAAAUUUGGCUAGGAUACUAAAGGUUAUAUCAGAGGUUCUCUUAUUUUUUCAUAGGAUGGUUAAUAUCUUAACAGAGAUUUUCUUGGACACUUUCCCUCCAAUUUGCAGUUGCAUGGACCACCUCGAUUCCUGUUAAUGAAUACAUAACAUCCCUGUGGCAACUAAAGCAAUUGCUUGCAUGGAAAUUAAUAUUAGGAAGGAUUUUUAUGUAUUUUUAUCUUCUUGUGAUGUAAUUUAGCAGAUGGAAAUAAGAAAGAGAAUUCAUGUAAAUUCACCAGCCAGCUCUUCACAGACCACUAGCAAUUGCUCCAUGGAUAGUUGAGAACCGAAGCCUUAGAGAGAUGGAUAACUGGCUUCUAUAUCAGCAUACAGGCUUAUUUAUAGCCCAGUUCUGCCACCCUUACUCUUGCUGAACAGUAUCUUACUCCUGGUUUUCCCACUGGGUGAUCCUCAUCCCUGCUCUGGCUCCUUUACAUCACAUAAAAUGGCCAGAGUGGCAUAAAUGGUCCCUAAAAGCCCCAUAUCUGGCUGGGAAAGAAUUCCCUUGGUGCCUGCACUGCAGAAGACAGCUGUAAGGUUGCCUUUCAAGGACCCCCUCAUAAUCCCUGGUGUCGGGGACAUGAUGGUGGCAGAGCUGGAGGCAGGAGGAUUGUGUCAGGGCUAGGGCUGCGGCACAUACAGCUCCACAGACUCUGGGCAGGGCUGUGGCCCAUAGGGCAGCUCUGGGAGACUGCCGUAACUUAGGCAGGUUGCCUGGGCUGUCAGAAUUAUGCUGGGGACCUCUCCAGCCCCGGGAAGAGCCCAGAAUGAAGAGGGCACAAAGGUGUCUUAAAAGUCACCUCAGCUAUGCCAUUGCUAAGGGUUGCAAGAUCUCUGCCAUGCCUACACUUUGAGCUAUGUGUGUGAUUCCCAGCUCGAGGAGCUGUUCCAGCGCUAGUUCUGAUUGAGUUAGCAUGCUGAAAAUAGCGUGUAGCCACGGUGGGGUGAGUGGCGGGAGGGGUUAACUGCCGGAGCACAUGCCUAGUGUCUUGGACAGGUAUGUACUUGGGGAGGCUAGCCCCUCCCACCACUUGUGCUGUUGUAGCUACACUUUGAUCCAGCUAAUGCUCUAAAAAUAGAGCUAGCCCGGGCAUGUCUCCUUGGGUUUGGAUUCUCUCUCACACACACACACCCAACUUGAAGUGUAGAUAUACCCUAAGAGGCACAACUGAGAACCUGUCCAUUGAGUUACAUGAGAUGACUGGAAGAGAGAUUCUGACCCUUAGAAAAUGAUUUAUCUGUGAGUUGUCAACUGUUUAGAAAUAUUGUAUUUGUCUCUGUUUCAGUGACGUUGCUAUUGUCUCUGUCAAUAAAGUUUCCAUUUUAACGAUGCUUCCCAACAGCAGAACUAGUCUGAUGAUGCAGAGCAGGCUUUUGGCAUUUGGAAGUAUUGGAGUGUCAAAUGUGUAAGAUUGGAAGAAGAAAACAAGCUUUCCUGCUUUUUUCAAAUACCAAUUGGUUUCUUAACUUUGAGUGAACUGGCCAUUUAACUGAACUAGUUGAAUAAAACUGAAAUGAAGAAAAUAAUUCUCUCAGCACCUGCAGAAGAGACGGCUGCUAUCAAAAGUUCGUUUAGCCAUUCAACAAACUCUGGUUGCAGGUGCUUAGCCAGUGACUUCCACCAGUUCAAUGAUUUGACUUCCUUCAAAACUUGGCAGACAAUAUGUACUGUUUAAUAUUUUUUAAAUUUAAUUUAAAUGUUUUUAAUAGAUUAUAAAUUUAGGCCUUAACUUA